rnacentral:rRNA from 1 species
UAGGGAAUCUUCCACAAUGGGCGAAAGCCUGAUGGAGCAACGCCGCGUGAGUGAUGAAGGUUUUCGGAUCGUAAAACUCUGUUGUUAGGGAAGAACACCCGAGAGAGGAUCUCGGACUGACGGUACCUAACGAGAAAGCCCCGGCUAACUACGUGCCAGCAGCCGCGGUAAUACGAAGGGUGCAAGCGUUACUCGGAAUUACUGGGCGUAAAGCGUGCGUAGGUGGUUGUUUAAGUCUGAUGUGAAAGCCCUGGGCUCAACCUGGGAAUGGCAUUGGAAACUGGGCAGCUAGAGUGCGGUAGAGGGUAGUGGAAUUCCUGGUGUAGCAGUGAAAUGCGUAGAGAUCGGGAGGAACAUCUGUGGCGAAGGCGACUGCCUGGACCAGCACUGACACUGAGGCACGAAAGCGUGGGGAGCAAACA